rnacentral:rRNA from 1 species
GACGAACGCUGGCGGCGUGCCUAAUACAUGCAAGUAGAACGCUGAAGGAGGAGCUUGCUUCUUCGGAUGAGUUGCGAACGGGUGAGUAACGCGUAGGUAACCUGCCUGGUAGCGGGGGAUAACUAUUGGAAACGAUAGCUAAUACCGCAUAACAGUAGAUGUUGCAUGACAUUUGCUUAAAAGGUGCAAUUGCAUCACUACCAGAUGGACCUGCGUUGUAUUAGCUAGUUGGUGGGGUAACGGCUCACCAAGGCGACGAUACAUAGCCGACCUGAGAGGGUGAUCGGCCACACUGGGACUGAGACACGGCCCAGACUCCUACGGGAGGCAGCAGUAGGGAAUCUUCGGCAAUGGACGGAAGUCUGACCGAGCAACGCCGCGUGAGUGAAGAAGGUUUUCGGAUCGUAAAGCUCUGUUGUAAGAGAAGAACGAGUGUGAGAGUGGAAAGUUCACACUGUGACGGUAUCUUACCAGAAAGGGACGGCUAACUACGUGCCAGCAGCCGCGGUAAUACGUAGGUCUCGAGCGUUGUCCGGAUUUAUUGGGCGUAAAGCGAGCGCAGGCGGUUAGAUAAGUCUGAAGUUAAAGGCUGUGGCUUAACCAUAGUACGCUUUGGAAACUGUUUAACUUGAGUGCAAGAGGGGAGAGUGGAAUUCCAUGUGUAGCGGUGAAAUGCGUAGAUAUAUGGAGGAACACCGGUGGCGAAAGCGGCUCUCUGGCUUGUAACUGACGCUGAGGCUCGAAAGCGUGGGGAGCAAACAGG